rnacentral:misc_RNA from 1 species
GAUGAAGAACGUAGCGAAAUGCGAUAAGUAGUGUGAAUUGCAGAAUUCAGUGAAUCAUCGAAUCUUUGAACGCACAUUGCGCCCGCUAGUAUUCUGGCGGGCAUGCCUGUUCGAGCGUCAUUUCAACCAUCAAGCCCUGUUUAGGCUUGCGUUGGGGCCCUGCGGCUGCCGCAGCCCCCUAAAUGCAGUGGCGGGCUCGUUGUCACUCCGAGCGCAGUAGCGUAUCUCGCUCUGGGCGUGGCGGCGGGUGCUAGCCGUGAAACACCCACUAAGGUUGACCUCGGAUCAGGUAGGAAUACCCGCUGAACUUAAGCAUAUCAAUAAGCGGAGGA